rnacentral:lncRNA from 1 species
AUGAAGCGGAGGCGGGUUGAAAAGGCGAACAGAGGAGGAAGGGGCGGAAAGUGGGGGGCAGGGAGGGAGGGAAGGGGGCAAGAGCAGCAGCAACCGGGUUUUACCCGCCCCCGGGGGCUCGCGCGCCCGGCCUCACGCCUCGCGCCUCGCGGGCCUCCCCGCCGCCGCUGCAGCCGCGCGCUGGCCCUCCCGCCCCACCCCCGGCGCGCACGCGCAGCCCGGCCCCGCUCCCCCGCCGGCGCGCGCGCGCGCGUGCGUGCGUGGCCCCCCUCCCCCCGCGCCGCCCAGAGCCGCCUCGCGAGCUCGCCUCGCGCCGCCCCGGGCUCCCGCCGCGUGCCGGCCGGCCGCGCAGACUCAGAAGCUGCGAGGGGGCGGGGCCGCGCGGACGGGGGCGGGGCCAGGCGCGGUCAGGUGACCCGCGGUGGGCGGGAAAGGAGGCGGUUGGUGGCCAUUUUGGGAGGAGGGCGGUUGAUGGCUGGCCGUGUGAAGGUGGAGCCCGGGCAGCGGAUGGGAGUCGGGGACCGUCGCCUAGGAGACCACCCUGCAGGGCUGGGAGGCCUCGGGGGUCUGGCCAUUGUUCCUGGGGGGUCGCGUUGGAACGCAGCCGAGCCGAUCUUGGGGUCCCUCGGGGGGGCGCCACUCGGAGCUGCGGGCUCCCACGAUGUCGGGUGCGAGGGCAGGAGCGAGGCAGCCCCACAUGCCCCCGAGGAGCCCCCGCACCUGCCUUCGGGGGGUGGGGAGAUGUGCGGCCGGGGAGGCACGGGGGGACACGGAGCCACGUGGGGUCCAGCUCCAGGCCGGGAAGGGCAGUGGUCCCCAGAUGCUGGCGGGUCAAGGAGUCUGACCCCUGAACUGAACAGCCUAGACGUGGAAUGCGCUCCUUGGAAACUGAGUCAUGCACGUCGGUGCAGACGGGAGUGGAUUCGCGCGUCCCCGGGGGGGCGGGGCCGGAGUGAACCAGCACCAGGGGCUCUGAUGCGGGGGAUGCUGACGGUCCACAAAGGGGUGAUGGGGAUGGUUGCACACCGUGGGGGAAUUUACGAAAAAUAUGGAUUCUACACUUAA